GGGGAAUCUUCCGCAAUGGGCGCAAGCCUGACGGAGCAAGACCGCGUGAGGGAAGAAGGUCUGUGGAUUGUAAACCUCUUUUGAUAGGGAAGAAGACAGUGACGGUACCUAUCGAAUCAGCCUCGGCUAACUCCGUGCCAGCAGCCGCGGUAAUACGGAGGAGGCAAGCGUUAUCCGGAAUUAUUGGGCGUAAAGAGUCCGUAGGUGGGUAACCAAGUCAGCUGUUAAAUAGUGAAGCUUAACUUCAUAGAGGCGGCUGAAACUGGUUGUCUAGAGUGUGGUAGGGGUAGAGGGAAUUUCCAGUGUAGCGGUGAAAUGCGUAGAUAUUGGAAAGAACACCGGUGGCGAAAGCGCUCUACUGGGCCUGCACUGACACUGAGGGACGAAAGCUAGGGGAGCGAAAGGGAUUAGAUACCCCUGUAGUCCUAGCCGUAAACGAUGGAUACUAGGCGUUGCCCGUAUCGACCCGGGCAGUGUCGUAGCCAACGCGUUAAGUAUCC
rnacentral:rRNA from 1 species